GAUGAACGCUGACAGAAUGCUUAACACAUGCAAGUCGAUGGGGAAGUGGUGCUUGCACCAUGGUAACCAUGGCGGACGGGUGAGUAACGCGUAAGGAACUUGCCUGCGGGACUGGGAUAACAGCAGGAAACUGCUGAUAAUACCGGAUAAGGUCAUUAAGCUGCAUAGCUUAGUGAUGAAAGGAGACGCCUGCGGAGAGCCUUGCGUCCUAUUAGCUAGUUGGAGGGGUAACGGCCCACCAAGGCGAAGAUAGGUAGCCGGCCUGAGAGGGUGGACGGCCACAAGGGGACUGAGAUACGGCCCUUACUCCUACGGGAGGCAGCAGUGGGGAAUAUUGGACAAUGGGGGCAACCCUGAUCAAGAAAUUCUGUGUGCACGAAGACGGUUUUCGGAUUGUAAAGUGCUUUCAGCAGGGAAGAAGGAAGUGACGGUACCUGCAGAAGAAGCGACGGCUAAAUACGUG
rnacentral:rRNA from 1 species